rnacentral:rRNA from 1 species
GAUGAACGCUGGCGGCGUGCCUAAUACAUGCAAGUCGAACGAACAGACGCUGCUCUUGCUCCUCUGUCGUUUGCGGCGGACGGGUGUGUCACACGUGUAUCAUAUCCCUAUCAUUCUGGGAUCACCUCGGGAAACCGGCGCUUAUACCGGAUAAUAUAUUGCACCGCGUUGUUCGAUGGUGAGAUACGGCUUUUCUGUCACGUAUAGAUGGAUCCGGGCCGCAUUAGCUGGUUGGUAAGUUAACAGCUUACCAAGGCAACGAUGCGUAGCCGACCUGAGAGGCUGGUCGGCCACACUGGAACGGAGCCAGGGACAAGACUCCUACGGGAGGCAGCAGUAGGGAAUGGUACGCAAUGGGCGAAAGCCUGACGGAGCAACGCCGCGUGAGAGAUGACGGUGUUCGGAUCGUAAAACCCGGUUAUUGGGGAAGAACAAAUGUGGAAGUAAAUGUGCACGUAUUGACGGUACCUAAUCAGAAAGCAACGGCUAACUACGUG